AUCAAAGGGGAGUUCAGCAGAUGCAAUGGAAGAUGCCUAUAGUCCCAGGAGUUCUGGGCUGUAGAGCACUAUGCUGAUCAGAUGUCCACACUAAAUUCAGCAUUAACAUGGUGACCCUGUGGGGAGCUGGAGGACCACCAGGUUGCCGCAGGAGGCAUGAAGUGGUCCAGGUUGGAACUGGAGCAGAACAAAACUCUGAUACUGAUCAGUAGUGGGAUCAUGCUUGUGGGUAGCAACUGCACUCAAAUCCGCGAAGCACAGCAAGAUCUCAUU
rnacentral:SRP_RNA from 10 species